rnacentral:rRNA from 1 species
CCCUAUGGGGUGCACCAGACCUGUAUUAGUGGUACAGAAUGAUAUUGGCAAUCAGUAUAGUCCGACAACGAUUGUGGUGGCAAUUACGUCCCAAAUAAACAAGGCAAAACUACCUACCCAUGUUGAAUUGCCAAAAGACAAAACCGGUUUGGACAAAGAUUCCGUAAUCUUAGCUGAACAGGUACGCACAAUUGAUAAAAGCCGCCUCCAACAUAAAAUAGCGGUAAUGGGCGAAGAGAUUAUGCACAGGGUGGAUCGUGCUUUAGAAAUUAGUUUAGGAUUGGUGGAAAUAUAACGCGAUUUUUGGUCAGGCUAUAUUUUAGCCUGGCUUAAUUGUUUUUCGGAGGGGAGAGC